AACGCUGGCGGCGUGCUUAACACAUGCAAGUCGAGCGGGCCUCUUCGGGGGCUAGCGGCGAACGGGUGAGUAACACGUGAGCAACCUGCCUUCUGCUCUGGGAUAGCCUCCGGAAACGGGGAUUAAUACCGGAUAUGACCUGGGUCUGCAUGGGCCUGGGUGGAAAGUUUUUUCGGCGGGAGAGGGGCUCGCGGCCUAUCAGCUUGUUGGGGGGGUGACGGCCCACCAAGGCGACGACGGGUAGCCGGCCUGAGAGGGCGACCGGCCACACUGGGACUGAGACACGGCCCAGACUCCUACGGGAGGCAGCAGUGGGGAAUAUUGCGCAAUGGGCGGAAGCCUGACGCAGCGACGCCGCGUGGGGGAUGAAGGCCUUCGGGUUGUAAACCUCUUUCGGCAGGGGCGAAUGUGACGGUACCUGCAGAAGAAGCGCCGGCUAACUACGUGCCAGCAGCCGCGGUAAUACGUAGGGCGCGAGCGUUGUCCGGAUUUAUUGGGCGUAAAGAGCUCGUAGGCGGCUUGUUGCGUCUGCUGUGAAAUCCCGGGGCUUAACCCCGGGCGUGCAGUGGAUACGGGCAGG
rnacentral:rRNA from 1 species